UACAGAGGUCUCAAGCGUUGUUCGGAUUCAUUGGGCGUAAAGGGUGCGUAGGCGGCGCGGUAAGUCGGGUGUGAAAUCUCGGAGCUUAACUCCGAAACUGCAUUCGAUACUGUCGUGCUUGAGGACUGGAGAGGAGACUGGAAUUUACGGUGUAGCGGUGAAAUGCGUAGAUAUCGUAAGGAAGACCAGUGGCGAAGGCGGGUCUCUGGACAGUUCCUGACGCUGAGGCACGAAAGCCAGGGGAGCAAACGGG
rnacentral:rRNA from 1 species